CCUAACGGCGCCUGGUAUUGUUGCAGGAGAGUCCUGCCUUUUCUUCAGUGAUGUUGCAGGGAGUGUGGAGCUGUCACAGCGUGGCACUGACUGCCUGAAACUCUCUAAAAGUUGGACUCGAGCAGCCAAGUGGAAUAUCUUUACAAUCUUGACACUCUGUAAUGCAUCAUGAGGCAAGCAGGUGCUGACCAGAGCACAGUCUCAGCACCUCCAUCAUCAAUCAAAAGGGAACCAACAUUUAUUUAUUAUUUACUAGCUGUUUCCUGACUGAAGUCCUGCUGCUUUGCAACAUAAAAACCGACAAGACAUUUUGUUUUCAUUUGUCAUAAAUGUCACUUAAAGGGGCCAUACCAUGAAAUAUAAACUUUUUGAGCUUUCAAGUGUUUUACGCGGUUCAUUCCUCACUAUAAAGAACCCCAAAGUGGUAUUUUGAUCCGUUCAUGCAUUUAUAAAUAGUCCUAAAAACCUGUGAUCUGAACGGUAGCCCCUCCCAUACCCACGAAAAUGAGUGGGUCCUCACGUGCUUACAUCAUAAGGUGAGAACCGCCCCCUCCAGGAAGAGUCUGCCGCGCCCAGGCUAACACAAACACUUUCUCUACGACGCUAGCGGUGAUCAGCUAGCUUCAUAUGCCCCCACCCCCC